ACUCCCUACGGGAGGCAGCAGUGGGGAAUAUUGCACAAUGGGGGAAACCCUGAUGCAGCCAUGCCGCGUGUGUGAAGAAGGCCUUCGGGUUGUAAAGCACUUUCAGUAGGGAGGAAGGUAGUGUAGUUAACACCUGCAUUAUUUGACGUUACCUACAGAAGAAGCACCGGCUAACUCCGUGCCAGCAGCCGCGGUAAUACGGAGGGUGCGAGCGUUAAUCGGAAUUACUGGGCGUAAAGCGCAUGCAGGCGGCCUGUUAAGUCAGAUGUGAAAGCCCGGGGCUUAACCUCGGAAUUGCAUUUGAAACUGGCAGGCUAGAGUCUUGUAGAGGGGGUAGAAUUUCAGGUGUAGCGGUGAAAUGCGUAGAGAUCUGAAGGAAUACCAGUGGCGAAGGCGGCCCCCUGGACAAAGACUGACGCUCAGAUGCGAAAGCGUGGGGAGCAAACAGGAUUAGAUACCCUGGUAG
rnacentral:rRNA from 1 species